rnacentral:rRNA from 1 species
AACGAACGCUGGCGGCAGGCUUAACACAUGCAAGUCGAACGCUGUAGCAAUACAGAGUGGCAGACGGGUGAGUAACGCGUGGGAAUCUACCUAGUUCUACGGAACAACACAGGGAAACUUGUGCUAAUACCGUAUACGCCCUACGGGGAAGAUUUAUCGGAAUUAGAUGAGCCCGCGUAAGAUUAGCUAGUUGGUGGGGUAAUGGCCUACCAAGGCGACGAUCUUUAGCUGGUCUGAGAGGAUGAUCAGCCACACUGGGACUGAGACACGGCCCAGACUCCUACGGGAGGCAGCAGUGGGGAAUAUUGGACAAUGGGCGCAAGCCUGAUCCAGCCAUGCCGCGUGAGUGAUGAAGGCCUUAGGGUUGUAAAGCUCUUUCAGUGGGGACGAUAAUGACGGUAGUGGGAGAAGAAGCCCCGGCUAACUUCGUGCCAGCAGCCGCGGUAAU